UACAGAGGUCCCAAGCGUUACUGAGAUUCACUGGGUUUAAAGGGUGCGUAGGUGGUCUGUUAAGUCAGUUGUGAAAUCCCCGGGCUCAACCCGGGAACUGCUUCUGAUACUGGCGGACUUGAGGCCAGUAGGGGUCACUAGAACUGACGGUGGAGCGGUGAAAUGCGUAGAUAUCGUCAGGAAUGCCUGUGGUGAAGACGGGUGACUGGGCUGGUUCUGACACUGAGGCACGAAAGCGUGGGGAGCGAACGGG
rnacentral:rRNA from 1 species